UAAACCAACCGGGAUUGCCUUAGUAACGGCGAGUGAAGCGGCAAAAGCUCAAAUUUGAAAUCUAGCACCUUCGGUGUUCGAGUUGUAAUUUGAAGAAGGUAACCUUGGGAUUGGCUCUUGUCUAUGUUUCUUGGAACAGAACGUCACAGAGGGUGAGAAUCCCGUGCGAUGAGAUGACCAAUUCUAUGUAAGGUGCUUUCGAAGAGUCGAGUUGUUUGGGAAUGCAGCUCUAAGUGGGUGGUAAAUUCCAUCUAAAGCUAAAUAUUGGCGAGAGACCGAUAGCGAACAAGUACAGUGAUGGAAAGAUGAAAAGAACUUGAAAAGAGAGUGAAAAGUAC
rnacentral:rRNA from 1 species